rnacentral:rRNA from 1 species
GACGAACGCUGGCGGCGUGGAUUAGGCAUGCAAGUCGAACGGUAUCAUCCUUUCGGGGGUGAGAGAGUGGCGAACUGGUGAGUAACACGUAGGUUAUCUACCCUCAAGACGGGGACAACCCAGGGAAACUUGGGCGUAAUACCGGAUGUGAGCAACUUUUAGUUGUUUGAAAGGUGGCGUAAGCUGUCGCUUGGGGAUGAGCCUGCGUCCUAUUAGUUAGUUGGUGAGGUAACGGCUCACCUAGGCAAUGAUAGGUAGGCGGCCUUAACGGGUGGUCGCCCACACUGGGAUUGAGAUACGGCCCAGACUCCUACGGGAGGCAGCAGUCGAGAAUAGUCUACAAUGGUCGGAAGACUGAUAGUGCGACGCCGCGUGAACGAUGAAUCCCUUCGGGGUGUAAAGUUCUUUUAUAUGUGAGCAGUUGCUUCUUAUACUUAACGAGUAUGGGGAGAGGAGAUAUUAGCAUAUGAAUAAGCAACGGCUAACUCCGUGCCAGCAGCCGCGGU